GACGAACGCUGGCGGCGUGCUUAACACAUGCAAGUCGAACGGAAAGGCCCUGCUUUUGUGGGGUGCUCGAGUGGCGAACGGGUGAGUAACACGUGAGUAACCUGCCCUUGACUUUGGGAUAACUUCAGGAAACUGGGGCUAAUACCGGAUAGGAGCUCCUGCUGCAUGGUGGGGGUUGGAAAGUUUCGGCGGUUGGGGAUGGACUCGCGGCUUAUCAGCUUGUUGGUGGGGUAGUGGCUUACCAAGGCUUUGACGGGUAGCCGGCCUGGGAGGGUGACCGGCCACAUUGGGACUGGGCUACGGCCCAGCCUCCUACGGGAGGCAGCGGUGGGGAAUAGUGCACUAUGGGCGGAAGCCUGAUGCAGCAACGCCGCGUGCGGGAUGACGGCCUUCGGGUUGUAUACCGCUUUCGCCUGUGACGAAGCGUGAGUGACGGUAAUGGGUAAAGAAGCACCGGCUAACUACGUG
rnacentral:rRNA from 1 species